rnacentral:rRNA from 1 species
AUCGAACGCUGGCGGCAGGCCUAACACAUGCAAGUCGAGCGGAGCGGCGGACGGGUGAGUAAGGCCUAGGAAUCUGCCUGGUAGUGGGGGAUAAAGUCCGGAAACGGGCGCUAAUACCGCAUAAUAUAAGAUGAGCCUAGGUCGGAUUAGCUAGUUGGUGGGGUAAGGGCCUACCAGGGCGACGAUGCGUAAGUGGUCUGAGAGGAUGAUCAGUCACACUGGAACUGAGACACGGUCCAGACUCCUACGGGAGGCAGCAGUGGGGAAUCUUGGACAAUGGGCGAAAGCCUGAUCCAGCCAUGCCGCGUGUGUGAAGAAGGUCUUCGGAUUGUAAAGCUCUUUAAGUUGGGAGGCGUUACCUACAGAAUAAGCACCGGCUAACUACGUGCCAGCAGCCGCGGUAAUUC